rnacentral:rRNA from 1 species
UACGAAGGGGCUAGCGUUGUUCGGAAUUACUGGGCGUAAAGCGCACGUAGGCGGAUUUUUAAGUCAGGGGUGAAAUCCCGGGGCUCAACCCCGGAACAGCCUUUGAUACUGGAGAUCUGGAGUCCGAGAGAGGUGAGUGGAAUUCCGAGUGUAGAGGUGAAAUUCGUAGAUAUUCGGAGGAACACCAGUGGCGAAGGCGGCUCACUGGCUCGGUACUGACGCUGAGGUGCGAAAGCGUGGGGAGCAAACAGGAUUAGAUACCCCCGUAGUCCCUGAGCGGGCU